GCCGAAGUGGCGGAAUUGGUAGACGCGCACGCUUGAGGGGCGUGUGGGGUAACCCGUGGGGGUUCGAGUCCCCCCUUCGGCACCA
rnacentral:tRNA from 1 species